rnacentral:rRNA from 1 species
AUUGAACGCUGGCGGCAGGCCUAACACAUGCAAGUCGAACGAGUGGCGGACGGGUGAGUAAUGUCUGGGAAACUGCCCGAUGGAGGGGGAUAACUACUGGAAACGGUAGCUAAUACCGCAUACCAUCGGAUGUGCCCAGAUGGGAUUAGCUUGUAGGUGAGGUAACGGCUCACCUAGGCGACGAACCCUAGCUGGUCUGAGAGGAUGACCAGCCAAACUGGAACGUGGACACGGUCCAGACUCCGACGAGGGGCAGCACUGGUGAAUAUGGCACAAGGGGCGCAAGCCGGAUGCAGUCAUGCCGCGUGGAGGAAGAAGGCCUUCGGGUUGUAAAGUACUUUCAGCGGGGAGGCGUUACCCGCAGAAGAAGCACCGGCUAACUCCGUGCCAGCCGCCGCGGUAAUAC